UGGGUCUGCAGCCCAGGCAGGGGUGCUGCUGCCUGCUCCAGUGCCCUGGCAGGCUCCUUGUCCCUGUACUGCCCCCAGCCUCUGCUUUUGCACUGCCACAGCCUGCACUGGCUUCAGGGCAAGGAUCUGCACCCAG
rnacentral:lncRNA from 1 species